GGUGGGGUGUCCGAGCGGCUUAUGGAACCGGUCUUGAAAACCGGUGUACUCGUAAGGGUACCGUGGGUUCGAAUCCCACCCCCACCG
rnacentral:tRNA from 1 species